rnacentral:rRNA from 1 species
UACGUAGGGGCCAAGCGUUGUCCGGAUUUAUUGGGCGUAAAGAGCUCGUAGGCGGUUUGUUGCGUCGGCUGUGAAAUCCCGAGGCUCAACCUCGGGUCUGCAGUCGAUACGAGCAAACUAGAGUGUUGCAGGGGAGACUGGAAUUCCUGGUGUAGCGGUGAAAUGCGCAGAUAUCAGGAGGAACACCGGUGGCGAAGGCGGGUCUCUGGGCAACAACUGACGCUGAGGAGCGAAAGCGUGGGGAGCGAACAGG